rnacentral:rRNA from 1 species
UACGGGGGGAGCAAGCGUUGUUCGGAUUUACUGGGCGUAAAGGGCGCGUAGGCGGCGUGACAAGUCACUUGUGAAAUCUCCGGGCUUAACUCGGAACGGUCAAGUGAUACUGUCGUGCUAGAGUACAGAAGGGGCAACUGGAAUUCUCGGUGUAGCGGUGAAAUGCGUAGAGAUCGGGAGGAACACCAGUGGCGAAGGCGGCUCGCUGGGCCGGCCCUGACGCUGAGCGCGAAGGCGUGGGGAGCGAACGGG